CUCGCACUUGCCUCAGGGACGAACCUACUCAGUGUUACCUGAACCCCGGUUCCGAGGCACAUGUGAGGAGCCUGACAAAUCAAGGUUUCCCAAGCACUCAGACAGACCUCGGAGCGUCUAGGUGACCGACAC